GACGGGGGAUGCAGGCGUUAUCCGGAAUCACUGGGCGUAAAGCGUCUUUAGGUGGUGAUGCAAGUCACUGGUGCAAAACUCUGGCUCAACCGGAGGAAAGCCAGUGAAACUGCAUGACUAGAGCGUGGGAGAGGUAGAAGGAAUUCCCUGAGUAGCGGUGAAAUGCGUAGAUACAGGGAAGAACACCGGAGGCGAAAGCGUUCUACUGGAACACAAUUGACACUGAGAAGCGGAAGCUAGGGGAGCGAAUGGG
rnacentral:rRNA from 1 species